rnacentral:rRNA from 1 species
AGAGCGAACGCUGGCGGCAGGCCUAACACAUGCAAGUCGAGCGCCCGUAGCAAUACGGGAGCGGCAGACGGGAUAGUAACACGUGGGAACGCGCCCUUCGGUUCGGAAUAACUCAGGGAAACUUGAGCUAAUACCGGAUACGCCCUUACGGGGAAAGAUUUAUUGCCGAAGGAACGGCCCGCGUCCGAUUAGCUAGUUGGUGAGGUAAUGGCUCACCAAGGCGACGAUCGGUAGCUGGUCUGAGAGGAUGACCGGCAUCACUGGGACUGAGACACGGCCCAGACUCCUACGGGAGGCAGCAGUGGGGAAUAUUGGACAAUGGGCGCAAGCCUGAUCCAGCCAUGCCGCGUGGAUGAUGAAGGCCUUAGGGUUGUAAAGUCCUUUUAACGGGGAAGAUAAUGACGGUACCGUAGAAUAAGCCCCGGCUAACUUCGUGCCAGCAGCCGC